GACGAACGCUAGCGGCGUGCUUAACACAUGCAAGUCGAACGGUAAGGCCCUUCGGGGUACACGAGUGGCGAACGGGUGAGUAACACGUGGGUGAUCUGCCCUGCACUUCGGGAUAAGCCUGGGAAACUGGGUCUAAUACCGGAUAGGACUCCUGGCUUCAUGGUUGGGGGUGUAAAGCUUUUGCGGUGUGGGAUGGGCCCGCGGCCUAUCAGCUUGUUGGUGGGGUAAUGGCCUACCAAGGCGACGACGGGUAGCCGGCCUGAGAGGGUGACCGGCCACACUGGGACUGAGAUACGGCCCAGACUCCUACGGGAGGCAGCAGUGGGAAUAUUGCACAAUGGGCGCAAGCCUGAUGCAGCGACGCCGCGUGAGGGAUGACGGCCUUGGGUUGUAAACCUCUUUCGAUAGGGACGAAGCGCAAGUGACGGUACCUAUAGAAGAAGGACCGGCCAACUACGUGCCAGCAGCCGCGGUAAU
rnacentral:rRNA from 1 species